GGGGAAUAUUGGACAAUGGGCGAAAGCCUGAUCCAGCAACGCCGCGUGAGGGAUGACGGCCUUCGGGUUGUAAACCUCUUUCAGUAGGGACGAAGCGCAAGUGACGGUACCUACAGAAGAAGCACCGGCCAACUACGUGCCAGCAGCCGCGGUAAUACGUAGGGUGCGAGCGUUGUCCGGAAUUAUUGGGCGUAAAGGGCUCGUAGGCGGUUUGUUACGUCGGGAGUGAAAACCCAGGGCUCAACCCUGGGCCUGCUUCCGAUACGGGCAGACUAGAGGUAUGCAGGGGGGAACGGAAUUCCUGGUGUAGCGGUGAAAUGCGCAGAUAUCAGGAGGAACACCGGUGGCGAAGGCGGUUCUCUGGGCAUUACCUGACGCUGAGGAGCGAAAGUGUGGGGAGCGAAC
rnacentral:rRNA from 1 species